rnacentral:piRNA from 1 species
UGUAAAGGAUAAGAGAGGAUGCCAUGC